rnacentral:rRNA from 1 species
GGGAAACGGCAUUAUGUGCUUGCACAUUUUGGACGUCGACCGGCGCACGGGUGAGUAUCGCGUAUCCAACCUGCCCUUUACUUGGGGAUACCCCGUUGAAAGACGGCCUAAUACCCGAUGUAAUUCAUUGAUGGCAUCAGAUAUGAAUAAAAGAUUUAUCGGUAAAGGAUGGGGAUGCGUCUGAUUAGCUUGUUGGUGAGGUAAUGGCUCACCAAGGCUACGAUCAGUAGGGGUUCUGAGAGGAAGGUCCCCCACAUUGGAACUGAGACACGGUCCAAACUCCUACGGGAGGCAGCAGUGAGGAAUAUUGGUCAAUGGACGUAAGUCUGAACCAGCCAAGUAGCGUGCAGGACGACGGCCCUAUGGGUUGUAAACUGCUUUUAUACGAGAAUAAUUUGAUGCACGUGUGCGUUAUUGCAUGUAUCGUAUGAAUAAGGACCGGCUAAUUCCGUGCCAGCAGCCGCGGUAAUACGGAAGGUCCAGGCGUUAUCCGGAUUUAUUGGGUUUAAAGGGAGUGUAGGCGGUUUGUUAAGCGUGUUGUGAAAUUUAGGUGCUCAACAUUUAACUUGCAGCGCGAACUGUCAGACUUGAGUACACGCAACGUAUGCGGAAUUCAUGGUGUAGCGGUGAAAUGCUUAGAUAUCAUGAAGAACUCCGAUUGCGAAGGCAGCAUACGGGAGUGUAACUGACGCUUAAGCUCGAAGGUGCGGGUAUCGAACAGGAUUGGAUANCCUGGUAGUCCGCACAGUAAACGAUGGAUGCCCGCUGUUAGCGCCUGGCGUUAGC